rnacentral:tRNA from 1 species
GGGUGUAGUUCAAUGGUAGAGCAUCGGUCUCCAAAACCGCUAAUGCGGGUUCGAUUCCUGUCACCC